UACGUAGGGACCAAGCGUUGUUCGGAUUUACUGGGCGUAAAGGGCGCGUAGGCGGCUUGACAAGUCACUUGUGAAAUCUCCGGGCUUAACUCGGAACGGCCAAGUGAAACUGUCAUGCUAGAGUGCAGAAGGGGCAAUCGGAAUUCUUGGUGUAGCGGUGAAAUGCGUAGAUAUCAGGAGGAACACCGAUGGCGAAGGCAGGUCUCUGGGCCACUACUGACGCUGAGAAGCGAAAGCGUGGGGAGCGAACAGG
rnacentral:rRNA from 1 species